rnacentral:rRNA from 1 species
GACGAACGCUGGCGGCGUGCUUAACACAUGCAAGUCGAACGGUGAAGCGCCUUCCUUUCUGGUGGGUGUGGAUGAGUGGCGAACGGGUGAGUAACACGUGAGCAACCUUCCCCCUCCUUCUGGAUAACCGCAUGAAAGUGUGGCUAAUACGUGAUAUUCUGGGUCUGUUGCAUCAUGGGUCUGGGAAAGAUAUUGUUUCGGUGGGGGAUGGGCUCGCGGCCUAUCAGCUUGUUGGUGUGGUGAUGGCCUACCAAGGCGAUGAAGAGUAGCCGGCCUGAGAGGGUCGACCGUCACGCUGGGACUGAGACAUGGAGCAGACUCCUGCGGGCGGCAGCAGUGGGGAAUAUUGCAGAAGGGGCGCAGGCCUGAAGCAGCGCCGCCGGGUGGGUGAUGGUGGUCUUAGGGUUGUGAACCUUUUUCGCCGGAGAAGCAUGGCUGCCUUAUUUGUGGAUGGGUUGACGGUAGCUGGAUAAGAAGCGCCGGCUAACUACGUG